rnacentral:sRNA from 1 species
AUGAUUCCAUUAUGCGCAUCUACAACAACAUUAUUUAGA